UGCUCCCUUAAUUGAUAAGGAAACAGAGGCUUGGAGCUAUUGGAUAACUUGACUACCUAAGGUCACCUGUCACAACAGGCUGUUCCCUCGAGGGCUUGCUCCCCAGUGUGGCCACGAAGCAGAAGAUGCAGAGCCCACCCCCUUUCCAAGUCUCUCCAAAGGUUCUUCAUCCCUGCUGAAGGCUCAGAAUCUGGACAAUCACAGCAAGAGUGCCUCUGACAGCUGACCCAGUGCUCAAGCCGUCUGUGGCCACCUUGCUUCCAGUGGAGUCAAAGAAGCUUUGGAAAAAUACCUGCUCCCAGUUUUGAAAGUGAGAAGACAAUGAUUUCAUCCUUGUUCUCCUUGUCUGUGGAUAUUUCAAGAUGGCACCCAGCAUGACAAAAAGUUAACACAAAAUGGAUUAAAGACUUGAAUGUAAGACCUAAAAACAAAAAAUUCCUAGAAGAAAACAUAGGCAGUAAGCUCCCUGAGGUUGGGCUUGGCCAUGAUUUUUGUUUAGAUUUGACACCAAAGGCAGAAAAUAUACAAGAGGGAUUACAAGUUUAAAAAAAAAAAAAAAAACUACCGUGCAGUGAAGGAAUCCAUCAACAAAAUGAAAAGGCAACCUACUGAAUGGGAGAAAAUAUUUUCAAGUCGUAUCUGAUAGGAGGCUACUAUCCAAAAUAAGUAAGGAACUCAUACAACUCCAUAGCAAAAAACCCAUUUUAAAAAUUGGCAGGAACUGAAUAGACAUUUUUUCCAAAGAUGACAUACGGGUGGCCCUCAGACACGUGAAAAGAUGCUCAGUGUCACUAACUAUCAGGGAAAUGCAAAUCAAAAUCACAAUGAGAUAUCAGCUCACACAUGUUAGAAUGACUAUCAGAAAGUAACAAGUGUUAGCAAGGAUGUGAAGAAAAGGAAUCCUUGUGCACUAUUGGUAGGAAUGUAAAUUGGUGUACCUCUAGAAAACAGGAUGGAAGUUCCUCAAAAUACUACCAUGUGAUCCACCAAUUCCACUUCUGGGCAUUUAUCCAAAGGAAAUAAAAACACUAACUAGAAAAGAUGCA
rnacentral:lncRNA from 1 species